UACGUAGGGUCCAAGCGUUAUCCGGAAUCACUGGGCGUAAAGCGUGCGUAGGUGGCGUGUUAAGUGUGAUGUUAAAUCGCGGGGCUCAACCCUGUCGGUGCAUCGCAUACUGGCAUGCUAGAGGGAAGCAGAGGCAAGUGGAAUUUGUAGUGUAGCAGUGAAAUGCGUAGAUAUUACAAGGAACACCAAUGGCGAAGGCAGCAAACUGGUCCAUAUCUGACGCUGAGGCGCGAAAGCAUGGGGAGCGAACAGG
rnacentral:rRNA from 1 species